rnacentral:rRNA from 1 species
GGAAGGGCACCACCAGGAGUGGAGCCUGCGGCUUAAUUUGACUCAACACGGGAAAUCUCACCAGGCCCGGACACCGGAAGGAUUGACAGAUUAACAGCUCUUUCUUGAUUCGGUGGGUGGUGGUGCAUGGCCGUUCUUAGUUGGUGGAGCGAUUUGUCUGGUUAAUUCCGGUAACGAACGAGACUCUAGCCUGCUAAAUAGGCGUCGUCAUUUAGGUGUGCGUGGCCGCAACUCACUGGCGACGUAUUAAAAUUCUUCUUAGAGGGACCGGCGGCUUCGAGCCGCACGAGAUUGAGCAAUAACAGGUCUGUGAUGCCCUUAGAUGUCCUGGGCCGCACGCGCGCUACACUGAAGGAAUCAGCAUGUUCUCCCUGGCCUAGAGGCCCGGGCAACCCGUUGAAACUCCUUCGUGCUGGGGAUUGGGGUUUGCAAUU